rnacentral:SRP_RNA from 1 species
AAACGGGUAAGUCCUAUACGGCCAGCUCCCUGUGAAUCCUCCAGGGCUUGACCGCAGCAAAGGUAACAGGUCGUAGCGGCGCGAUGUAGUAAGCUUACCCACC